rfam:Felis catus isolate Cinnamon breed Abyssinian chromosome X, whole genome shotgun sequence.
GCCUGGGUGGCUCAGUCGGUUGAGCGUCCGACUUCGUCUCGGGUCAUGACCUCACAGUUCGUGGGUUCGAGCCCCGCGUCGGGCU